rnacentral:rRNA from 1 species
CCUACGGGACGCAGCAGUGGGGAAUAUUGCACAAUGGGGGAAACCCUGAUGCAGCCAUGCCGCGUGUGUGAAGAAGGCCUUCGGGUUGUAAAGCACUUUCAGUAGGGAGGAAGGUAAUGUGGUUAACACCUGCACUAUUUGACGUUACCUACAGAAGAAGCACCGGCUAACUCCGUGCCAGCAGCCGCGGUAAUACGGAGGGUGCGAGCGUUAAUCGGAAUUACUGGGCGUAAAGCGCAUGCAGGCGGCCUGUUAAGUCAGAUGUGAAAGCCCGGGGCUUAACCUCGGAAUUGCAUUUGAAACUGGUAGGCUAGAGUCUUGUAGAGGGGGGUAGAAUUUCAGGUGUAGCGGUGAAAUGCGUAGAGAUCUGAAGGAAUACCAGUGGCGAAGGCGGCCCCCUGGACAAAGACUGACGCUCAGAUGCGAAAGCGUGGGGAGCAAACAGGAUUAGAUACCCUCGUAGUC